rnacentral:rRNA from 1 species
UGAUCUGGCUCAGAUUGAACGCUGCGGCAGCUACACAUGCAAGUCGAACGGUAACAGGAUAGCUUGCUAUCGCUGACGAGUGGCGGACGGGUGAGUAAUACUUAGGGAUCUGCCUCUGUGUGGGGGAUAACUAUUGGAAACGAUAGCUAAUACCGCAUAAUGUCUACGGACCAAAGCGGGCUUCGGCUCGUGCGCAGAGAGGAACCUAAGCGAGAUUAGCUAGUUGGUGAGGUAAAGGCUCACCAAGGCGACGAUCUCUAGCUGUUCUGAGAGGAAGAUCAGCCACACUGGAACUGAGACACGGUCCAGACUCCUACGGGAGGCAGCAGUGGGGAAUAUUGCACAAUGGGGGAAACCCUGAUGCAGCCAUGCCGCGUGUGUGAAGAAGGCCUUCGGGUUGUAAAGCACUUUCAGUUGUGAGGAAAGUUUAGUAGUUAAUACCUGCUAGAUGUGACGUUAGCAACAGAAGAAGCACCGGCUAACUCCGUGCCAGCAGCCGCGGUAAUACGGAGGGUGCGAGCGUUAAUCGGAAUUACUGGGCGUAAAGCGCACGCAGGCGGUCUGUUAAGCUAGAUGUGAAAGCCCCGCGCUCAACGUGGGAGGGUCAUUUAGAACUGGCAGACUAGAGUCUUGGAGAGGGGAGUGGAAUUCCAGGUGUAGCGGUGAAAUGCGUAGAGAUCUGGAGGAACAUCAAUGGCGAAGGCAACUCCCUGGCCAAAGACUGACGCUCAUGUGCGAAAGUGUGGGUAGCGAACAGGAUUAGAUACCCUGGUAGU